rnacentral:rRNA from 1 species
GACGAACGCUGGCGGCGUGCUUAACACAUGCCAGUCGAGCGGUAAGGCCUUUCGGGGUCCACGAGCGGCGAACGGGUGCGUAACACGUGGGUGAUCUGCCCUGCACUUCGGGAUAAGCCUGGGAAACUGGGUCUAAUACCGGAUAUGACCUCCUAUCGCAUGGUGGGUGGUGGAAAGAUUUAUCGGUGCAGGAUGGGCCCGCGGCCUAUCAGCUUGUUGGUGGGGUAAUGGCCUACCAAGGCGACGACGGGUAGCCGGCCUGAGAGGGUGACCGGCCACACUGGGACUGAGACACGGCCCAGACUCCUACGGGAGGCAGCAGUGGGGAAUAUUGCACAAUGGGCGGAAGCCUGAUGCAGCGACGCCGCGUGAGGGAUGACGGCCUUCGGGUUGUAAACCGCUUUCGGCAGGGACGAAGCGCGAGUGACGGUACCUGCAGAAGAAGCACCGGCUAACUACGUG